rnacentral:rRNA from 1 species
AGCAUAUCAAUAAGCGGAGGAAAAGAAACCAACCGGGAUUGCCUUAGUAACGGCGAAGUGAAGCGGCAAAAGCUCAAAUUUGAAAUCUAGUACCUUCGGUGCUCGAGUUGUAAUUUGUAGAGGGAUACUUUGGGGCCGUUCCUUGUCUAUGUUCCUUGGAACAGGACGUCAUAGAGGGUGAGAAUCCCGUGUGGCGAGGAGUGCGGUUCUAUGUAAAGUGCCUUCGAAGAGUCGAGUUGUUUGGGAAUGCAGCUCUAAGUGGGUGGUAAAUUCCAUCUAAAGCUAAAUAUUGGCGAGAGACCGAUAGCGAACAAGUACAGUGAUGGAAAGAUGAAAAGAACUUUGAAAAGAGAGUGAAAAAGUACGUGAAAUUGUUGAAAGGGAAGGGCAUUUGAUCAGACAUGGUGUUUUGCGCCCUCUGCUCCUUGUGGGUGGGGGACUCUCGCAGCUCACUGGGCCAACAUCAGUUUUGGUGGUCGGACAAAUCCGUAGGAAUGUAGCUUGCCUCGGCAAGUGUUAUAGCCUGCGGGAAUACGGCCAGCCGGGACUGAGGACUGCGACUUUUGUCAAGGAUGUUGGCAUAAUGGUUAUAUGCCGCCCGUCUUGAAACACGGACCAAGGAGUCUAACGUCUAUGCGAGUGUUUGGGUGUAAAACCCGUACGCGUAAUGAAAGUGAACGUAGGUUGGGGCCCUCUCGGGGGUGCACAAUCGACCGAUCCUGAUGUUUUCAGAUGGAUUUGAGUAAGAGCAUAGCUGUUGGGACCCGAAAGAUGGUGAACUAUGCCUGAAUAGGGUGAAGCCAGAGGAAACUCUGGUGGAGGCUCGUAGCGGUUCUGACGUGCAAAUCGAUCGUCGAAUUUGGGUAUAGGGGCGAAAGACUAAUCGAACCAUCUAGUAGCUGGUUCUGC